UACCCGCAGCACAAGUGGUGGUCAUUAUUAUUGGGCCUAAAGCGUCCGUAGCUGGCGUGUUAGAUGCCUGGGUAAAUCGAUGCGCUCAACGUAUCGAAUUCCGGGUAGACCGGCACGCUCGAGACCGGGAGAGGUAUGGGGUACUCGGGGGGUAGGGGUAAAAUCCUGUAAUCCUCCGGGGACGACCAGUGGCGAAGGCGCCAUACUAGAACGGCUCUGACAGUGAGGGACGAAGCCCUGGGGCGCAAACCGG
rnacentral:rRNA from 1 species